rnacentral:misc_RNA from 1 species
AAGGCUUAAUUGAGUUGAGUUGAGAAUGGAUUGGUGUAGAAUAUAGGGAAUCAGAUGUUUGAGUAGUUUCGGUGGCAGUUUCUCAAUUAAAUGGUAUCAAUUUGUUACCUUUUCAUUUUUCUCUCCUUCAAGGAUUGCUAGAGGACUUCCCUUCACCAGGAAAAUGAAAAUGUGCAUGUGCCACAUAUUGUUUUUCAAAAUUUCACAUAUUGUUUUUCAAAAUUUGAUCAUUACCUCUCCAAUCUCUAUGGUCUAAUGUUACUGUUACAUAUCCUUUUUACAUGGCCCAUGUUCUGUUAUCCUGAUCCCUCUUCUUCCCCCAAACUGACACCAGCUCAUGAACACAAAUGUGAGUGCAGAAAUGUGCACAUUUUUGCAAUGUGGGUUUCUGUUGAAGUUGUUUCUCUUUACAUGCUUCUGUUCUGUGCUUUAUUCUGUCUUUACAUGCUAAAGCGAGAUACUACUUCCAUGCAGAUUAAAUUGCAUGUAUUGAUACUACCCCAAAUUGUUGUUGACUGCAGAAUAUUGGUGGACUUACAUGAG